rnacentral:lncRNA from 1 species
AGACAAUCAGCGUGUGUGUGGCGGAUUGUGUCUGCCUGGCUGUGUCAAAGGGUGCUGUGCCAGAAUGAUAGAAGCCUGGGGAAAUUGCCCUUGGCCUCCUCAGCCGGGUGGACAAAGCCUGUGGGACUAUGACUGCACCCCAUCCAAGGAGGCCCAGAAGGAUGACUGAGGCUGGUGGUCAAGACGUCAGAGGCUUGCACAACCACGCGUUUGACAAACCCAUUGGUUGGGUGGAGUAAGCAACUGCAGAAUGUAUGAUCAAGACUGUCCCAGGGAGAGAAGGGCAAGGCGUCCUGCCCUACAUACCAACCUAUAUCAUCCUCCAAGAAGUAUAGGACAUCCUGACCUGAUCUGACCUGAUUCGUAUCCAAAGUUAUAAGACCACCCAAUAACCAGACCCCACCUGCACUGAUA